rnacentral:rRNA from 1 species
UACGUAGGGUGCAAGCGUUGUCCGGAAUUAUUGGGCGUAAAGAGCUCGUAGGCGGUCUGUCGCGUCUGGUGUGAAAACUCAGGGCUUAACCCUGAGCUUGCAUCGGGUACGGGCAGACUAGAGUGCGGUAGGGGAGACUGGAAUUCCUGGUGUAGCGGUGAAAUGCGCAGAUAUCAGGAGGAACACCGGUGGCGAAGGCGGGUCUCGUGGGCCAUUACUGACGCUGAGGAGCGAAAGCGUGGGGAGCGAACAGG